rnacentral:rRNA from 1 species
UACGUAGGGGGCAAGCGUUGUCCGGAAUCAUUGGGCGUAAAGCGCGUGUAGGCGGCUCGGUAAGUCCGCUCUGAAAGCCCCCGGCUCAACCGGGGAGGGUCAUUGGAAACUGGGGAACUUGAGUGCAGAAGAGAAGAGCGGAAUUCCACGUGUAGCGGUGAAAUGCGUAGAGAUGUGGAGGAACACCAGUGGCGAAGGCGGCUCUUUGGUCUGUAACUGACGCUGAGGCGCGAAAGCGUGGGGAGCAAACAGG